rnacentral:rRNA from 1 species
GAUGAACGCUGGCGGCGGGCCUAAUACAUGCAAGUCGAACGGUCACACGAGACGCUUUCCUGUUUCGCUUUCGCGUGGCGGACGUGUGUAACAUGUCUAUGAACCACCUUUAUGACUGGGGUUACUUCCUGAAACCGGUGGUUAUACCGGCAUAUCUUCUCAACCGCAUGGUGCAAUACUGUAAGACGUCUUUCCUUUGACUUAUAGAUGGAUCCGGGCCGCAUUAGCUAGUUGGUCAGGUAACGGCUUACCAAGGCCACGAUGCGUAGCCGAGCUGAGAGGAUGAUCAGCCACACUGGAACUGAGACACGGUCCAGACUCCUACGGGAGGCAGCAGUAGGGAAUCUUCCGCAAUGGGCGAAAGCCUGACGGAGCAACGCCGCGUGAGUGAUGAAGGUCUUCGGGUCGUAAAACUCUGUUAUUAGGGAAGAACAAAUGUGUAAGAAACUAUGCACGUAUUGACGGUACCUAAUCAGAAAGCCACGGCUAACUACGUG